rnacentral:lncRNA from 1 species
UUAAGAGAGAGAGAGGAUAAACAUCAAAAUAGCUUCUCAUUGGAAAGACUGUGGAAUAAUCUAAUACGUGAAGACACGGAAGUCCGAAACAAAUGUAGUAUAAAUUCCUUCCCAGAGUCUUUGCAGAUACAAGCAUCGGCCACAAUUAACUUCAGAAGCUGAAUAUUUCUAAGCAACUGGUAUCAGCUUCCAGAAGAAGCUGGGGGCAGGGGGAGAGGCAGGUUAAAAGGGAUAGUUUCCAGAUAAUUCGGUGUUAACACUCAUUCAAAAGCAUGUAAGGGGAGGAGACAAAAGAACACUUUUAUUUUCAGUUCGGUGUGUGAAGUGAGCACACUGGAACCCCCCAAAAGUGCAGUUCUGGCAAUCUAGACAGUAGCCUGUUCCUGGAUGGAUAGUUUUCCGGUCGAGACAGAUAGUUGGUUUAAAUCUGCCUCAGGUCUGAAGUGACUGGAAAUCAACACCAGAUAAUGGCUGUUUGGUAGAUGAUGUGACAUGGGUUAAUGCACUCGGCCAAAUUUCUACUGGAUAUUGGACAUGCGCUCACAUUACAAAUGCUUCCAACAGCAUGCUCAGUAUUAAAUUAACAUCUAUGCUGACAAUCUUGCCAAAGAAAUCCAGAAGAGGAUGGACAUUAGUGAUGAACUGCACGUUCACCUUUGGAGUGAAGUCAUUAGCAAGCUUUCGUCAUGUGGCUGGAGCCAACUCUCCCGAAUUUGCAAAGAUCGACAGCUCCAGAGCUCACUGGGCCCCAUCCAACGCUCACAGGCCGUGAUGGAGGCAUUUCCAUGGAGCCGGACAGACGGUGGAUCACGACCCGGACUCAGGAGAAAUUGCUUUGAAGGAAUGGAGUCCAGUGAUUCACCCCAGAAGCACCUCCAGAAGCACCUGGGCACAUCCUCAGAGGGUGUAAAUCAGCAUGAAACCACUGAGUUUGGCAGAGAUGCUUUAUACUAGCCAAGGAUCUCGGCUGGCCCAGACAGCAACAUAUGCACCCUCAUCAGGAGAGGAGCAGUUGGACUGAAGGGCUGGGGGUGGAGGAGUCAUUUUUUGGGUUGUUUGGGUCUGUCCAAAGGGGUAGGAAAAGUUACACGGUCUCAUGGAGUCUGAGGAGGACUGAGGUGGAUGCAGCAGAGGGAGGCUGUGCCUGGGUACGGUGGGCAUGGAGAAAAGGAAGGAAGUCGGAUGCACCAGACAUAGCCACGGGAGGAUGCCACCUUCUCCUCUGGCAGGAGGCAGAGCUAAAAGCAGCUGGGGGGAGGAGGGGGGUUGUCAAAAUGGCAAUGAGACAGAGCAGCUAACAGGGGUUGGCAGGAGGAGGAAAGGUCCAUCCCCCGUACCGUUUUCCUUUGCUUCUCCUCAACAUUUCAGUAUGUGUCUCCCCUAGAACAUCUUCAUGUGUCGCCUACUGCCCAUAUGGUUCAGUUCUCCCCAAACAGUUCAAAUCCCCGUGAAGCUGGCAAUACAAACAACAAUAAAGCUCAUGUUGGUCUAGCA